rnacentral:lncRNA from 1 species
CUAACUCCCUCUCUGGAUAUGUGGAACAAGGAGGACCUUAAACUUAACAAUAGAGCCAGUGAUGGUUCUACCAGUCUCCCCAAAGCCUCAAGUUUAAAAGCCAUAUGAACUGGCUGAUAGUGGAAAAUGGAAGCCAUGACGAAAUCAGAUUAGAGUACUACCUGGUGAAGCCUUGAGGACCUACCAAGAAAAGCAAACUUGGAUCUUUGCAAGGUUAGAAGAACGAAUGGGAUCCAAGAAAAAGACUGGUCAUAUUCAACGGCUAAGAGCGUUGGAGAAGGCCUGUGGAGUCUCAGCAGGUCAGGUCCAUGACUCAUGAGUAGACACCUGUGUUUCUACUGCCUGGUGCCAUAAUCAUAAACAAGGAAGAAACUGAGGACAGGAGGGGCCAAACAAGUUACAGUUUCAUCCCUCCAGAGAGCCAACAGAGUAUUUUGCACGAAGUUGAAGCUAAACAGGUAUUAUGUCCUGUCUCUGGACUGAAUGACUAGAUGCUACUCAGCUUCUGAACUAGAGGAAGCCUGGGACCUUGACCGCACUAAUGCUGAUGACAGCGGAUUUGCAGGUGGCUAGAGGUACCAGAUUUAGCAAAUAAAAAUAUAGGAUGUCAAGUUAAAUUUAAGUGUAAGAUAAGCUACGAAUACCUUUUCUAGUAUUAGUACGUCCCAUGCAAUAUACUAGAAAUGUUAUUCGUUAUUUAUGUUAAAUUUAAUUUUAUUAGGGCAUCCUAUAUUUUACCUGUCAAUCCAACCCAUGACCUAAGCAGACACUGUAGAAAAACAAAAGGAGAAUUAAGGAGAUAAAUGAAACACAGGGUGAGCUGAAAAGAGGUGCUCUGUGAAUUUGAGGGUCCAGUAGGAGCUGACUUGUAGGUACUUGGUCUGUUUUGAUGCCCACAACAACCUUGGGGAAGGGGCGGAAUAGCAGAGGGGUAAGCUCUCUGCCCCCCACCAAGGUUCUGCAGGACACCAGGGCUUUUAUCAGCACCCCUAUGUUCACAUCCUGGCUGUACCCUCCUUGGUUGUAUAUACUCUGGAUAAUUCACUUAAUU